AAUGUAAAGCAGUGCAUAAAUGUUCCAAAAGAGGGUGCUGUUGUUUUCUGUAAUUGCUGGCACUACCACAAUUCCGACAUGUUUGUCCUGCCGGGGACACCGUAGCGCAGGGGAUUUCUGCGCGCGAACUGCCGUACUCUUUACAGUGUGUUUACUGCCUGUAAGGUAAGCAGCAGCUCUGCUAGCUCGGUGUAACAUAUACAGUAUAAUAAUAUACCGAUCCAUUUCUGUUUGUUCAGUUUGCCUGUUAAGUAUAAAUUACAUUUUGUUUUGGUGAUGUUUGAUUAUUUUAUAAAAAAGAAAAAAACGAUUGAAUGCUGACAGUGUGUUUACUGCCUGUAAGGUGAACAAAAUAAACGCGCCAAAGUCUCCCCACAACGACGAGCCGCCUGUCUGAUUCCUCUCCUGCACGGAACACAUCCCACCCUCACACAAACACAACGCAGAGCCCAUCGGGUGUCUUCCAGCAGCUGCAGGGUUAAAGAGGGAAAGCCUGGGUUACAUCUUGGUGCCGUGACCCGGAUUGUGGUUCUUGGAGACCAACAGGUUGGAGGGAUUCUUGACCAGAGGAGUCAGA